rnacentral:tRNA from 1 species
UGGAGACGUCGCAUAGUCCGGCCGAGUGCACCACCCUGCUAAGGUGGAGUCCCCUUUGUGGGGACCGAGGGUUCAAAUCCCUCCGUCUCCGCCCA